GCCCAAACUUUACUGAGCGCCUUCGUCUCCAUCGCCAAACGAUUCCUCUUCCCCUCUUCAUCGCCAAAAUAUUCACUGCCUUCGUCUUCACGGGAGCCUAGAACGCUCAUGAGGUGGGCUGCUCGCGAGGCAGGCUUCUUGCAGCGGCCGUUCGCUGCUCAACCUGGAGUAGCGAUAGGGGGAGGAAGAGAAGCGUAUCCUGGCCACGGUGACCUUCCGAUCCAGCAUGGGCCCUUCCAUCGUAGUUUGUUACAGGCUCACAGUUGGGAACACUGAAAUCACUCAUCGACGAGGAUAAAGGAAGGGGGAAGGACAGGGGUGAUGGCCCUGACGGUGGCGGGCAACUUCGUGCUAUUGUUCUUCUUGAUGCCACUUCUGGCAUCGAUUCCGGCUUGGGCGAUGGGGUCGCCGCUGGUGUUGGGGGUGUGCUGAUGAUGAAGAUGGUAGUGGAGGUGGAAUGGGAGAACAUGAGGGAAGCCAUCUCCGCCUUCAUCACCAUCAUUUUGAUGUCGCUCACCUACUCAAUUACGUACGACAUCAUCAGUGGCAUUGCCACCUACAUCGUCCUCUGCCUUUGCGAAUACAUCUGCUCUGUUCUCAUCAAGAGCUUCCAUCUUCUCCGCAAUAACUCUGCUUUAUUACCUUGUUUGAUCAAUGUGGAUGGUUGAGACUAAAGAUGAUUAUCUUUUGUCCAUUCAACAUGUUCAUCAUGGGAAAAAUACUUUGGAAGAAAGACAUGGCCCUCCGGUUUUCCUCUAACAUAGUCUUUUCAGAUAGUGGUUUUGAUGUUCGGGUUGGUAAUGUACACAGUACAAGAUGGAGCCAUGGUCAUACUAGUUUAUCGGUUCAUGAGAAGGCAUAUUGGUAUUAGAGUUGGCAAUAAUCGGCACAGAACGACUAGCAACCUAUGAUAAGUUAUAGAUUUUCUAAACUAGUAGCCCUUUAUUGAUGUUUAUAGUUAUUAAAUUUAGAAUCUUAUUCAUGGUUUUACACUUUUCAUGCCAUGUGUUGAAGCCAAAGAGGGGUUGAAAUAAAUUUACAAAAGCUUAAGAAGUUACACCAGCAGGACUUUAUAUCAAUCUAUUAGGUAUACAAUUAUGGUUUCUAAUUUGUAAUAUAUAUAUUUAUUUGAGCAGGAGUCCUCAAUGGUACUGGGAAGAAUGUCGGAAAACUGAAAAAAUGGAGACUUUAGCAGGUUAAGGAAUAAUGAGAGCUACAGUGUCGCCUCUUCAUCGACAUCUAAGUAGAAAAUCUCAUGUUGUUGUAUUGGUCUACCUUUGUUUUAUUAGUGUCGGUACUUGUCAUUAUGUUAGUUUCUUAUAAAAUUUCUUUAGAAUGUUGUAAAUAUUAUUUUUGAAU